AUACGGAGGGUCCGAGCGUUAAUCGGAAUUACUGGGCGUAAAGCGCACGCAGGUGGAUUGGUAAGUUGAAUGUGAAAGCCCUGGGCUUAACCUGGGAACUGCAUUCAAAACUGCUCGUCUAGAGUAUAGGAGAGGGAAGUGGAAUUUCCGGUGUAGCGGUGAAAUGCGUAGAUAUCGGAAGGAACACCAGUGGCGAAGGCGACUUCCUGGACUAAUACUGACACUCAGGUGCGAAAGCGUGGGGAGCAAACAGGAUUAGAAACCCUAGUAGUCC
rnacentral:rRNA from 1 species